UACAGAGGUCUCAAGCGUUGUUCGGAUUCAUUGGGCGUAAAGGGUGCGUAGGUGGCGCCGUAAGUCGGGUGUGAAAUUUCGGAGCUUAACUCCGAAACUGCAUUCGAUACUGCGGUGCUUGAGGACUGGAGAGGAGACUGGAAUUCAUGGUGUAGCAGUGAAAUGCGUAGAGAUCAUGAGGAAGACCAGUGGCGAAGGCGGGUCUCUAGGCCGUAACUGACGCUGAGGAGCGAAAGCAUGGGGAGCGAACAGG
rnacentral:rRNA from 1 species